rnacentral:rRNA from 1 species
GUCGAACGGCAGCACGGGAGCAAUCCUGGUGGCGAGUGGCGAACGGGUGAGUAAUACAUCGGAACGUGUCCUGUAGUGGGGGAUAGCCCGGCGAAAGCCGGAUUAAUACCGCAUACGCUCUGCGGAGGAAAGCGGGGGAUCCUUCGGGACCUCGCGCUACAGGGGCGGCCGAUGGCAGAUUAGCUAGUUGGUGGGGUAAAGGCCUACCAAGGCGACGAUCUGUAGCUGGUCUGAGAGGACGACCAGCCACACUGGGACUGAGACACGGCCCAGACUCCUACGGGAGGCAGCAGUGGGGAAUUUUGGACAAUGGGCGCAAGCCUGAUCCAGCAAUGCCGCGUGUGUGAAGAAGGCCUUCGGGUUGUAAAGCACUUUUGUCCGGAAAGAAAACCGCCUGGCUAAUAUCCGGGCGGGAUGACGGUACCGGAAGAAUAAGCACCGGCUAACUACGUGCCAGCAGCCGCGGUAAUACGUAGGGUGCAAGCGUUAAUCGGAAUUACUGGGCGUAAAGCGUGCGCAGGCGGUUCGCUAAGACAGAUGUGAAAUCCCCGGGCUUAACCUGGGAACUGCAUUUGUGACUGGCGGGCUAGAGUAUGGCAGAGGGGGGUAGAAUUCCACGUGUAGCAGUGAAAUGCGUAGAGAUGUGGAGGAAUACCGAUGGCGAAGGCAGCCCCCUGGGCCAAUACUGACGCUCAUGCACGAA